CAGAGGGUGCGAGCGUUAAUCGGAAUUACUGGGCGUAAAGCGCGCGUAGGCGGCUUUGCAAGUCGGGUGUGAAAUCCCCAGGCUUAACCUGGGAACUGCAUUCGAGACUGCAUUGCUAGAGUAUGGGAGAGGGAAGUGGAAUUUCCGGUGUAGCGGUGAAAAUGCGUAGAUAUCGGAAGGAACAUCAGUGGCGAAAGCGACUUCCUGGACCAAUACUGACGCUCAUGUGCGAAAGCGUGGGGAGCAAACAGGAUUAGAUACCCUGGUAGUCCACGCCAUAAACGAUGAGAACUGGAUGUCGGGAGGGUCUGCCUCUCGGUGUCGUAGCUAACGCGUAAGUUCUCGCCUGGGAGUACGGCCGCAAGGUUG
rnacentral:rRNA from 1 species